UUAAGCGACUAAGCGUACACGGUGGAUGCCCUGGCAGUCAGAGGCGAUGAAGGACGUGCUAAUCUGCGAUAAGCGUCGGUAAGGUGAUAUGAACCGUUAUAACCGGCGAUUUCCGAAUGGGGAAACCCAGUGUGUUUCGACACACUAUCAUUAACUGAAUCCAUAGGUUAAUGAGGCGAACCGGGGGAACUGAAACAUCUAAGUACCCCGAGGAAAAGAAAUCAACCGAGAUUCCCCCAGUAGCGGCGAGCGAACGGGGAGGAGCCCAGAGCCUGAAUCAGUGUGUGUGUUAGUGGAAGCGUCUGGAAAGGCGCGCGAUACAGGGUGACAGCCCCGUACACAAAAAUGCACAUAUUGUGAGCUCGAUGAGUAGGGCGGGACACGUGGUAUCCUGUCUGAAUAUGGGGGGACCAUCCUCCAAGGCUAAAUACUCCUGACUGACCGAUAGUGAACCAGUACCGUGAGGGAAAGGCGAAAAGAACCCCGGCGAGGGGAGUGAAAAAGAACCUGAAACCGUGUACGUACAAGCAGUGGGAGCACGCUUAGGCGUGUGACUGCGUACCUUUUGUAUAAUGGGUCAGCGACUUAUAUUCUGUAGCAAGGUUAACCGAAUAGGGGAGCCGAAGGGAAACCGAGUCUUAACUGGGCGUUAAGUUGCAGGGUAUAGACCCGAAACCCGGUGAUCUAGCCAUGGGCAGGUUGAAGGUUGGGUAACACUAACUGGAGGACCGAACCGACUAAUGUUGAAAAAUUAGCGGAUGACUUGUGGCUGGGGGUGAAAGGCCAAUCAAACCGGGAGAUAGCUGGUUCUCCCCGAAAGCUAUUUAGGUAGCGCCUCGUGAAUUCAUCUCCGGGGGUAGAGCACUGUUUCGGCAAGGGGGUCAUCCCGACUUACCAACCCGAUGCAAACUGCGAAUACCGGAGAAUGUUAUCACGGGAGACACACGGCGGGUGCUAACGUCCGUCGUGAAGAGGGAAACAACCCAGACCGCCAGCUAAGGUCCCAAAGUCAUGGUUAAGUGGGAAACGAUGUGGGAAGGCCCAGACAGCCAGGAUGUUGGCUUAGAAGCAGCCAUCAUUUAAAGAAAGCGUAAUAGCUCACUGGUCGAGUCGGCCUGCGCGGAAGAUGUAACGGGGCUAAACCAUGCACCGAAGCUGCGGCAGCGACACUAUGUGUUGUUGGGUAGGGGAGCGUUCUGUAAGCCUGCGAAGGUGUGCUGUGAGGCAUGCUGGAGGUAUCAGAAGUGCGAAUGCUGACAUAAGUAACGAUAAAGCGGGUGAAAAGCCCGCUCGCCGGAAGACCAAGGGUUCCUGUCCAACGUUAAUCGGGGCAGGGUGAGUCGACCCCUAAGGCGAGGCCGAAAGGCGUAGUCGAUGGGAAACAGGUUAAUAUUCCUGUACUUGGUGUUACUGCGAAGGGGGGACGGAGAAGGCUAUGUUGGCCGGGCGACGGUUGUCCCGGUUUAAGCGUGUAGGCUGGUUUUCCAGGCAAAUCCGGAAAAUCAAGGCUGAGGCGUGAUGACGAGGCACUACGGUGCUGAAGCAACAAAUGCCCUGCUUCCAGGAAAAGCCUCUAAGCAUCAGGUAACAUCAAAUCGUACCCCAAACCGACACAGGUGGUCAGGUAGAGAAUACCAAGGCGCUUGAGAGAACUCGGGUGAAGGAACUAGGCAAAAUGGUGCCGUAACUUCGGGAGAAGGCACGCUGAUAUGUAGGUGAAGUCCCUCGCGGAUGGAGCUGAAAUCAGUCGAAGAUACCAGCUGGCUGCAACUGUUUAUUAAAAACACAGCACUGUGCAAACACGAAAGUGGACGUAUACGGUGUGACGCCUGCCCGGUGCCGGAAGGUUAAUUGAUGGGGUCAGCGCAAGCGAAGCUCUUGAUCGAAGCCCCGGUAAACGGCGGCCGUAACUAUAACGGUCCUAAGGUAGCGAAAUUCCUUGUCGGGUAAGUUCCGACCUGCACGAAUGGCGUAAUGAUGGCCAGGCUGUCUCCACCCGAGACUCAGUGAAAUUGAACUCGCUGUGAAGAUGCAGUGUACCCGCGGCAAGACGGAAAGACCCCGUGAACCUUUACUAUAGCUUGACACUGAACAUUGAGCCUUGAUGUGUAGGAUAGGUGGGAGGCUUUGAAGUGUGGACGCCAGUCUGCAUGGAGCCGACCUUGAAAUACCACCCUUUAAUGUUUGAUGUUCUAACGUGGACCCGUGAUCCGGGUUGCGGACAGUGUCUGGUGGGUAGUUUGACUGGGGCGGUCUCCUCCUAAAGAGUAACGGAGGAGCACGAAGGUUGGCUAAUCCUGGUCGGACAUCAGGAGGUUAGUGCAAUGGCAUAAGCCAGCUUGACUGCGAGCGUGACGGCGCGAGCAGGUGCGAAAGCAGGUCAUAGUGAUCCGGUGGUUCUGAAUGGAAGGGCUAUCGCUCAACGGAUAAAAGGUACUCCGGGGAUAACAGGCUGAUACCGCCCAAGAGUUCAUAUCGACGGCGGUGUUUGGCACCUCGAUGUCGGCUCAUCACAUCCUGGGGCUGAAGUAGGUCCCAAGGGUAUGGCUGUUCGCCAUUUAAAGUGGUACGCGAGCUGGGUUUAGAACGUCGUGAGACAGUUCGGUCCCUAUCUGCCGUGGGCGCUGGAGAACUGAGGGGGGCUGCUCCUAGUACGAGAGGACCGGAGUGGACGCAUCACUGGUGUUCGGGUUGUCAUGCCAAUGGCACUGCCCGGUAGCUAAAUGCGGAAGAGAUAAGUGCUGAAAGCAUCUAAGCACGAAACUUGCCCCGAGAUGAGUUCUCCCUGACUCCUUGAGAGUCCUGAAGGAACGUUGAAGACGACGACGUUGAUAGGCCGGGUGUGUAAGCGCAGCGAUGCGUUGAGCUAACCGGUACUAAUGAACCGUGAGGCUUAACCUU
rnacentral:rRNA from 1 species